AUAGGGUCAAGUGACUAAGAGCAUGUGGUGGAUGCCUUGGCGAUGAUAGGCGACGAAAGACGUGAAAGCCUGCGAUAAGCUUCGGGGAGCUGGCAAAUAAGCUUUGAUCCGGAGAUUUCUGAAUGGGGAAACCCACCCUUCGGGGUAUCGCUCACUGAAUACAUAGGUGUGCGAAGCGAACCGGGUGAACUGAAACAUCUCAGUAGCUCGAGGAAAAGACAUCAACCGAGAUUCCGAAAGUAGUGGCGAGCGAAAUCGGAGAAGCCUUGCAGUGAUAGCACAAAGAUUAACAAAACGGAAUGGAAAGUCCGGCCAUAGUAGGUGAUAGCCCUGUAUGUGAAAAUCUCUGUGUGGUACUAGGCUGCAGAUAAGUAGGGCGGGGCACGAGAAACCUUGUCUGAAUAUGGGGGGACCAUCCUCCAAGGCUAAAUACUCAUCAUCGACCGAUAGUGAACCAGUACCGUGAGGGAAAGGCGAAAAGAACCCCGGGAGGGGAGUGAAAUAGAUCCUGAAACCGCAUGCUUACAAAAAGUAGGAGCCCGCAAGGGUGACUGCGUACCUUUUGUAUAAUGGGUCAGCGACUUACAUUCAGUGGCAAGGUUAACCGAAUAGGGAAGCCGUAGAGAAAUCGAGUCCGAAUAGGGCGAACAUAGUCGCUGGGUGUAGACCCGAAACCAAGUGAUCUACCCAUGGCCAGGAUGAAGGUGCCGUAACAGGUACUGGAGGUCCGAACCCACUAGUGUUGCAAAACUAGGGGAUGAGCUGUGGAUAGGGGCGAAAGGCUAAACAAACUUGGAAAUAGCUGGUUCUCUCCGAAAACUAUUUAGGUAGUGCCUCAAGUAUUACCUUCGGGGGUAGAGCACUGUUUAGGCUAGGGGGUCAUGGCGACUUACCAAACCUAUGCAAACUCCGAAUACCGAAGAGUACAGCUUGGGAGACAGAGCACCGGGUGCUAACGUCCGGACUCAAGAGGGAAACAACCCAGACCGCCAGCUAAGGUCCCUAAAAUUGGCUAAGUGGGAAACGAAGUGGGAAGGCUAAAACAGUCAGGAUGUUGGCUUAGAAGCAGCCAUCAUUUAAAGAAAGCGUAAUAGCUCACUGAUCGAGUCGUCCUGCGCGGAAGAUGUAACGGGGCUAAGCCAGUUACCGAAGCUGCGGAUUUGCAAUUUAUUGCAAGUGGUAGGAGAGCGUUCUGUAAGCCUGUGAAGGUGUCUGGUAACGGAUGCUGGAGGUAUCAGAAGUGCGAAUGCUGACAUGAGUAGCGUUAAAGGGGGUGAAAAGCCCCCUCGCCGUAAGCGCAAGGUUUUCUACGCAACGUUCAUCGGCGUAGAGUGAGUCGGCCCCUAAGGCGAGGCAGAGAUGCGUAGCUGAUGGGAAACAGGUCAAUAUUCCUGUACCGAUGUGUAGUGCGAUGUGGGGACGGAGAAGGUUAGCUCAGCCAACUGUUGGAUAUGUUGGUUCAAGCCUGUAGUCGUGCCCGGUAGGCAAAUCCGCCGGGCUUAGAUGAGGGG
rnacentral:rRNA from 1 species